CCUACGGGUGGCAGCAGUGGGGGAUAUUGCGCAAUGGGGGAAACCCUGACGCAGCAACGCCGCGUGAAGGACGAAGGUUUUCGGAUCGUAAACUUCUUUGACCGGGGACGAAGAAAUGACGGUACCCGGGGGACAAGCCACGGCUAACUACGUGCCAGCAGCCGCGGUAAUACGUAGGUGGCGAGCGUUGUCCGGAUUUACUGGGUGUAGAGGGCGCGUAGGCGGGGCGGCAAGUCCGAUGUGAAAUCCCGCGGCUUAACUGCGGAACUGCAUCGGAAACUGCCGUCCUUGAGUAUCAGAGGGGAAAGCGGAAUUCCUAGUGUAGCGGUGAAAUGCGUAGAUAUUAGGAGGAACACCGGUGGCGAAGGCGGCUUUCUGGCUGAAAACUGACGCUGAUGCGCGAAAGCGUGGGGAGCAAACAGGAUUAGAUACCCCGGUAGUC
rnacentral:rRNA from 1 species